rnacentral:rRNA from 1 species
CCCUAUGGGGUGCAGGAUCUUCCACAGCGGGACCAUCUCGUCGGGUUCGGUGACGGGCUCCCGUGAGUUCUGGUUCAGGAAGUAUUUCGAUCCCUUGCGGUUGAAGGAGACCGCGAGGUCCUCCCAGCCCGGCUGGGAGGCCUUGACCUCCUCCAGGAUGUCCUCGACCACGAACUGGAAAUCCUCGCUGCGCGCGCCCAUGGCCGAGUUCCCCUCGGUGUUCAGGGCCUGGUCGCAGGAGCCGCGGAUGCCCUUGGGCCGGUUCUCCCGGGGCCAGGCCGCG